rnacentral:rRNA from 1 species
CGUAGGGUGCGAGCGUUAAUCGGAAUUACUGGGCGUAAAGCGUGCGCAGGCGGUUUAGUAAGACAGGCGUGAAAUCCCCGGGCUCAACCUGGGAACUGCGCUUGUGACUGCUAAGCUAGAGUACGGCAGAGGGGGGUGGAAUUCCACGUGUAGCAGUGAAAUGCGUAGAGAUGUGGAGGAACACCAAUGGCGAAGGCAGCCCCCUGGGUCGAUACUGACGCUCAUGCACGAAAGCGUGGGUAGCAAACAGGAUUAGAUACCCUGGUAGUCCACGCCCUAAACGAUGUCAACUAGGUGUUGGGAGGGUAAAACCCUUUUAGUACCGGAGCUAACGCGUGAAGUUGACCGCCUGGGGAGUACGGCCGCAAGGUUA